GAUGAACGCUGGCGGCGUGCCUAAUACAUGCAAGUCGAGCGAACGGACGAGAAGCUUGCUUUUCUGAUGUUAGCGGCGGACGGGUGAGUAACACGUGGAUAACCUACCUAUAAGACUGGGAUAACUUCGGGAAACCGGAGCUAAUACCGGAUAAUAUUUUGAACCGCAUGGUUCAAAAGUGAAAGACGGUCUUGCUGUCACUUAUAGAUGGAUCCGCGCUGCAUUAGCUAGUUGGUAAGGUAACGGCUUACCAAGGCAACGAUGCAUAGCCGACCUGAGAGGGUGAUCGGCCACACUGGAACUGAGACACGGUCCAGACUCCUACGGGAGGCAGCAGUAGGGAAUCUUCCACAAUGGGCGAAAGCCUGACGGAGCAACGCCGCGUGAGUGAUGAAGGUCUUCGGAUCGUAAAACUCUGUUAUUAGGGAAGAACAUAUGUGUAAGUAACUGUGCACAUCUUGACGGUACCUAAUCAGAAAACCACGGCUAACUACGU
rnacentral:rRNA from 1 species